AAAGAAUUUGGUCCAUUUGUGGAUCCCUUGAGUUGUGAAAUAAUUUGUAUCGGUGGUCGCAGGAUUGUACUGGCUUUAGUUUAAUUGGGCCGGUAUGAAAGAUCUGUGAUUGAUUCAAGGGUAAAUUGCAGGCCACACCCGUUGACCAUGUUUUAUUUCCAUGGAUUGUCAAAGUCAAAUGUGGUUUUCACCAUUUGUCUUUUCGCCUGCAAAAUGACGCUUCUGCCCUUGCGCUUCUCUCUUAGUAACUGUUGAAAUGUACGGUUUAGUUUAGCAGGUUUAGUUACGUACACUGUUCCGGUUCAGUUGAAGAUUUUUUGUUUCACGUUGACGCGAUUCGGUUCCGUUACAAGUGAGAUUAUUUCCAUUAUUCCGAAGUGACAUCAACAUUUAAUGCCCCCAAAAAGUUUAGAUGUGACUAUUGUCACAAUUAAUGCAAAAUCAUCAUUACAUCAAAUAAUAUUAAAAAAAUUAUUGAUAAU
rnacentral:sRNA from 1 species